AUACCUCCUUAUGACAGACACAUCGAAAACCACCGAUGGUUCUUCCGACUUAGAUUGUGUGUUUAUUUGGGGUGAUUGUGGAGAAGGGGCUGCUGCAGAUGAUGGGUGAAGCUAACACCUCCCAAAUCAGCCCUUGAUAAUGUCACUGACUGGAUUCAAAUUCAGCAACUACCACUUACCGGCUAUGUGACUCUGGGGACCCAGCCCCUCCCUUGAGAAUCCAGGUUCCUAACUUCUGGUCUCCCACGCCCUCCGUGCUAUGCAGUGUCAGCCCAGUGUCUGGCUCACAGCAGCCCUGCAGGAAGUGCAGACCUGCCCACCCUGGACCUUCCUCCUUGGGAGCCUGAUGCAUUUUGCAGAGAAGCUGCCCUUCCCCCAACUCAGCCACCUCAGAGUGUUGGUUGUGUCCCCUGCACCUGUAACUGGGUCAUCUCUUUAUCGCCCGCACUCAGCAGAGGAAAUCAAAUGAGUGUUAAUUGAGGGCUGGGUUCGUCAGAACUACUGCUCUUUUCUGGUGUGCUUUAUUUAAGUGUAAGCCAAUCCAAGCUUACCAUGGGGUUUCCAUGUAACUGAGAGUUCCCAGUGCUUUGCGGCAGCGCUCGCCUUCAUUCCAGACAAAGCAUAAUGAGACGCAAUCUCACAUUACCUAAUCACACGGAGGCAGCGCGGAUCACAAUGCUGUAUUUGGCAUUUCUGUGGUGCGCUCCAUCUGAGGAGCUCAAAGAGCUUAAAGAAAACCCUUUCUUUAUUUGGGAAGUAUUAUUAUCUGGGUUUUACAGAGAGAGAUACCGAGAGGUGAAGUGACCUGCUUUAAGACCACACAGCAAGACGUCUCUGGGCUGAGAGGGAGCCCAGCAGCUGACAGGCCCUCCUUGGCCAGACUUCACAGGCUCAAAACAGAAAGCUGCUCACACAGAGCCUGUCCUCACCAGGCCCCGUGGGGAACUCACGCAAGAGACGGAACUCAAUAGCAGAGACGAAAGCAGAGGGAAUUUAAAAGCAUCAGCCAGAGGAAAGGUGUGUAAAGACCUGGCUCAGCCUCAAGAGAGCAGACUGCAGGAUGCGAGUUGCGCUGACGGAACAUGAAGCCGUGAACUGUGUUCAGCAGGUAUUUCUUCAGCUUGCUUCGUGGAUUGACCCCCAGAGAGAACGCUUUUAUCACCUUGCUUCUCUGUGACAACAUUAUUUUUAGUAAUAGCCAUGAAAUGAAACAACAAAAAUAAUGGAUAGUAGAGAAAAGCAGUGAAAUUUCUCUCUUACUGACCCUUCUGUGGAUGGCUAUGCCCAUAAAAUAGAAAAAUAAAUAAAGUAGUGGAUUAACA
rnacentral:lncRNA from 13 species